GUCUGGAGAUGCUACGUUUGAUGCUGCUGCCAGCGGUCCAAACCUAUCAUAUGGGGAUUCUAGAUCAAAUUGUCUCAGUCACCGGAACAGUGAUCCUUUUCAUAAUGGUGAUAUAAACCCUGGCUGCCGACGAACACCCUAGCAUUUGCCACUUGCUCCUCCAUCAUCUAAAUCUGUUUAUAUAUUCUAAGGUUUAUUUGACCAUUACACUUGAGAAAAUGGCCAAAGGGGAUGCUCAGAAGCUCUACUUCACUGUUCCAAUAUUUGAGACACAUCCUCCCUAGUACUUCAUCCACGCAAUUUCAGAUUCAUGGAUGCAUUCAGAGUGUUUCUAUACUAUGUCCUUCCGGAACCUCAUGCUCCCUGAGGCUCUUACAACUUAUAUGGAACUCCUUGACUUGAAACCACUUCCUGUGACUGCACUUGCAAAUGGAACUUAUGAAGAAUUGUACAGAUACAUACAUUUUAACCCCAUACAGACGAAGGCUUUUGAUGUGCUAUAUCACACGGACCAAAAUGGGGAGAAAAGAAGA